GUCCCAUCACGAGCGGCCGAGAGACCUGGCUCCGCGACGCCGCAGCAACCCGCGCCUGUCCUGCGCGUGCGGGUGCUCCCACCAGGGACGAUGGAGC
rnacentral:ncRNA from 2 species